UACGUAGGGCGCGAGCGUUGUCCGGAAUUAUUGGGCGUAAAGAGCUCGUAGGCGGCCUGUUGCGUCCGCUGUGAAAUCCCGGGGCUUAACCCCGGGCGUGCAGUGGAUACGGGCUGGCUGGAGGCAGGCAGGGGAGAACGGAAUUCCCGGUGUAGCGGUGAAAUGCGCAGAUAUCAGGAGGAACACCGGUGGCGAAGGCAGGUCACUGGGCCGCAACUGACGCUGAGGAGCGAAAGCAUGGGGAGCGAACAGG
rnacentral:rRNA from 1 species